rnacentral:rRNA from 1 species
CCUACGGGGUGCAGCAGUGGGGAAUAUUGGACAAUGGGCGAAAGCCUGAUCCAGCCAUGCCGCGUGUGUGAAGAAGGCCUUCGGGUUGUAAAGCACUUUCAGUGGGGAAGAAAGCCUUGGGGCUAAUACCCUCGAGGAAGGACAUCACCCACAGAAGAAGCACCGGCUAACUCCGUGCCAGCAGCCGCGGUAAUACGGAGGGUGCGAGCGUUAAUCGGAAUUACUGGGCGUAAAGCGCGCGUAGGCGGUCUGAUAAGCCGGUUGUGAAAGCCCCGGGCUCAACCUGGGAACGGCAUCCGGAACUGUCAGGCUAGAGGGCAGGAGAGGAAGGUAGAAUUCCCGGUGUAGCGGUGAAAUGCGUAGAGAUCGGGAGGAAUACCAGUGGCGAAGGCGGCCUUCUGGACUGACACUGACGCUGAGGUGCGAAAGCGUGGGUAGCAAACAGGAUUAGAUACCCUGGUAGUC